rnacentral:miRNA from 1 species
UCUGACCCUUCUUAGUUCAAC